CCCCAACCCUAAUUCUCUGUUUUUUAAUAUUGACUUUAUUAUGGUAUAAUUUAUACACAGUAAAAUACACUUUAUUUUAUAUUUGUGUGUGUGUGUGUGUGUGUGUGUGUUGCUGGCAAUGAACCCAGGGCCUCUCCCAUGCUAGGUAAAUGUUCUAGCACCGAGCUAUACCACCCCCUCCUUGAAAUGCACACAUUUUAAGCAUAUAGGUAGUAACUUUUAACAAAUUAUACAGCCAUGUAACCACCACCCUGAUAGAAAUAUAGAGCACUUCCAUCUGUCUGGAAAAUUCCUUUAUAUCCCAUUGCAACUAGUUACUCAGCCCCAGAUGGUAUUGAUCUGAUUUCUCUUACUGCACAAUAGGUGAGAUUUCUGGUCCUAGAACUUCAUAAGAAUAUAUGAUAUAUGCUAUUCUGUGUUUGUCAUCUCUUGCUCAGCCAUGUAAUUUCUCUUUAAAACAGGAAACAAAACCAUGGCUGAGAUGGGGACUCCAUAGGAGAGCAGUGGAGGGAACCCCACAGGGUUGUGGGAUAAGAGGGACCAGACAGGACAGAGACAGCAAAUGAACAGUGACCUUGAUUUUGGCCUUUAGCAGAAGCAGAAUACAGCCAUGUGGAUUUGGGAUCAAGGAUAAGGCUGAGCUCAAAGGGCUGAGGAUCCCAAGAUAUAGCAAGCCUUGGUCAUGGCAAGGCCAGCUGGGCCCUGUACCCCUCAGUGCUGUGGAGAUAAGGAGGCCAGGACCCAGAGGUGGACACGGAGAGUCUUCAGGAUGAAGAUCGGAGUUGGGAUUCAAAAUCCUCCCACACUGCAGUCAUUGUUGGCUGUCUCCUCUGGUGGAAUGUCUCUGGAAACUUCCCUGUGUUCUCUGACUCUGGCCCAGGCCUUCAGUGCCUUGAUCCCGACCCUCUGCUUUUCUAGCCAAGCCUCAGCUGGGAUCCAUCUCCUCUCCCUCUCAUGGAGCCUGUGGUCCUGAUGUGCAGCCUCUUUUCUUGCUCUUCCCCUCAGCCUGCAGAUAGACUCAGGCCACCAUCCCCCUUGGUCUGGUCCCCCAGACCUCAUCUGUCCCAUCCCUUUCCUGCUUUUUUAACCACAUGCACAGUUCAGCCUCCAACUCCACCUCACUUCUGUGAAAUUGUUCCAGAAGUCACCAGUAACCCCCUGUCAGGGACAUGUUCUAGAGGAUGUGGCUGUCCAGUGGCCCCUGUCAUAUUUUAGGAGAAUGCACCAUUGGAUGGUGUAACCUAGAUCUCUCCUUUUUUUCUGUGAUACGGAGAUUGAAUCCAGGAGUGCUCCACCACUGACCUACAUCCCCAACUCUUUUGAACUUUUCUAAUAUUUUGAGACGGUGUCUCACUAAGUUGCUGAGGCUGGUCUUAAACUUGCCAUCCUCUUAUCUCAGCCUCCUUGGUAGCUGGGAUUAUAGGUGUGAACCACCAUGCCUGCUGCCCUAGAUCUCCAUCUACUCAUUCUUCCCCCUUUCACCCCACACCAGCUGCUUCACAGCCUUCUCCAUCUCACUUGAUGGAAACUUGAUUUUACCAGUUGAUCUGACUGAAAACCUUGGAUUCAUUCCUGCUUCCCCUCCCAAAUUCACUCAAGUCAGUGUAUCCUGUCAACUCUGCCUUCAAGGUAUGUACAGAUUAGAUGGCUCCCACCAUCUCUACCUUUGUUUUUGCUGCUGGAUUACUGUGAUAGCCUCCUAGCUGCCCUCCCUGCCUCUGUCCAUUAAUCCCCACACCAUGGCUACUCUGAUCCUCUUCCACUGUGAGAUGAUCGGGUCCCCCAUGUCCACCGAGGUUCAAAGUCCUCCAGGGGUUCCACUACAUUCACAGGGAAGCCCAAGUCCUUACAGGGCCUACAUGGUCCUGCUUCAAACCAGGGCUCCUCCAUUCCCCAUCCACGAGGCUGCAGACACCUGGCUUCCUGGCAGUUCCCCACCAUACACCUGCCUUCUUGAUUAGGCUCUCUUGGUCCAGCCUAUUUAAAAGUGCACCCUGCCCCCACUCCCACGUGUUCCAUCUUCCUUAUACUUUUUCUUUGUCCUUAAUUUUCCACAGUAUUCAUGUAUGUAUGUCUUUUUAUUAUUCUUACCUGGCACCUGUAACCGCCAUGAAGUCAGGGAUCUUUAUGGAUUUUAUUGCUGUUCAAGGGCCUAGGACUGUGCCUGGCACAUAGUAGGUUCUCAAUAAAUGUUUACAGAAAGGACUUAAGGAAUUCUGAGCCCAUCCCCUGAACACAUGCCCAAAAGGUGGGCAUGUGACACAAGCUGGGCUCAUCUAAUGCCUCUGUGCUCUGCUGUCUUGAUGGGGCAGGGGAGCAUAUUCUUUUUUUUUUUUUUUCUUCAUUUUUUUGGUACUGGGGAUUGAACCCAGGGGUGCCUUACCACUGGGCCACAUCCCUUGCUCACAUCUUAUUUUGAGACAUGGUCUCACUAAGUUGCUGAGGUUGGCCUUGAACUUGUGAUCCUCCUGCCUCAGCCUUCCAAAUUGCUGGGAUUAUAGACAUGGG
rnacentral:lncRNA from 1 species